rnacentral:lncRNA from 1 species
ACACGCCGAGGCCUGAAGAAGAGGAAACAAUGUUCCCGGAGCCUGGUGAAAGCUGCCACCACGAGAGGAUCUGUGUGGCAGGAGCUGUGGCCUCGGACAGUGAACACAGGUACUGCCAGAAUUGUGACAAAGCAGGCAUAAAGCCAGCGAAGAAAUACUCUGAUCCUGCCCUCUUGUCACCUUCCAGUCCCCUGCCAGUACCUCCAAUGUGCCAAAAUAAAGCAGAAGCCGGAGAGUAAGGAUUUCAGAUGAGGCAACCAAAAGAGGUCAGCUUCCCGGGCACAGAACUGGUCAAAAUAGGGUGGAAUGAAUCUGACGGAUGUGGUGGACAUAGAGGGGAGCAGCAUGCCAAGCAGACAUAUCUACUUUCCUGUCUACAAAUCCCAUGCUCUUUUCCCUAUAGGCACUACUGAGAUACAGAGUAAACUAUCAUUGUUUGAAAAAACUAGGAAGGAGACUUCAGUCUUAUUGAGAUAUGUAUUUCUGCAGGUUAGGCUGAAGCCUCUGCAUGUCCCGAUGCCUGAUGGAGAUGGAGGAAUCCUUUCUACCCAGACAGAAGUCACACUAUGUAGCCUGUCCUCUUUAGAACUGAAUCCGAUUGGGAUUUCUUCAUGGUCUCCACCCUGGAAAACCAGCUUGAAUUCUUGUAUGCGGGCCAGAUUCCAAGAGACAUCAUAAUUAGAUCCCAGAAGACUACAUGGCAGCUGAAGAGGAUGUCCCCUGUGGAAUAUAUGGAGGAAAGGCUGGCCAAAGCAAUGUUCACAUUCAUGCAAUUAUCCAGUUAAUUGCACAAGUCAAACCAAGACUUGUUCUAAAGCCACAAUAACAACGAAAUUGAUGCUUUCAUCUCCCAGAAAUAUGGCUGUGCUGUGAUCCAUGAAUUUUAAAUUAGAAGUAAAUCUAGGACUGAACUACUAAUUUUCCCCAUCAGCUGAAGAGUUUUGGCAAUGAACAGCUUGCAGCUGAAUCCCCUUCUGGAAAU